AGCAGCCGCGGUAAUUCCAGCUCCAAUAGCGUAUAUUAAAGUUGUUGCAGUUAAAAAGCUCGUAGUUGAAUUUCGGGAUUGACACAUCGGUCGUGCCUUAAGGGGUAUGAACUGGUGUAGUCAAUUUCUCACCUUCUGGAGAACCGCGAUGCCCUUAAUUGGGUGUCGCGGGGAACCAGGACCUUUACUUUGAAAAAAUUAGAGUGUUUAAAGCAGGCAUUUUGCUUGAAUACAUUAGCAUGGAAUAAUAAAAUAGGACGGCAUGAUUCUAUUUUGUUGGUUUCUAGGAUCACCGUAAUGAUUAAUAGGGAUAGUUGGGGGCAUUAGUAUUCAAUUGUCAGAGGUGAAAUUCUUGGAUUUAUUGAAGACUAACUACUGCGAAAGCAUUUGCCAAGGAUGUUUUCAUUAAUCAAGAACGAAAGUUAGGGGAUCGAAGACGAUCAGAUACCGUCGUAGUCUUAACCAUAAACUAUGCCGACUAGGAAUCAGACGAUGUAAUUUUUAAUGUACUCGUUGGCAC
rnacentral:rRNA from 1 species